CUAGGAAUCUUGGGAAUGGGCGAAAGCCUGACCCAGCAACGCCGCGUGGGCGAUGAAGGCCUUCGGGUCGUAAAGCCCUUUUGAGGGGGACGAUAAUGACGGUACCCGAAGAAGAAGCUCCGGCUAACUUCGUGCCAGCAGCCGCGGUAAUACGAAGGGAGCUAGCGUUGUUCGGAAUCACUGGGCGUAAAGCGCACGUAGGCGGAUAGUUAAGUCAGGGGUGAAAUCCUGGGGCUCAACCCCAGAACUGCCUUUGAUACUGGCUGUCUCGAGGUCGAGAGAGGUUGGUGGAAUUCCUAGUGUAGAGGUGAAAUUCGUAGAUAUUAGGAAGAACACCAGUGGCGAAGGCGGCCAACUGGCUCGAUACUGACGCUGAGGUGCGAAAGCGUGGGGAGCAAACAGGAUUAGAUACCCUAGUAGUCCCUGAGCGGGCUGGCAAGGCGCAU
rnacentral:rRNA from 1 species